GAGCUGGAGAUCUGAGCCCCCGGUGCUCCCCUUCUUCCUCCUUGCUCCAAAUUAUCAUCAGCGAUCAACCGUGAUCCUGACAGGCCGUCUCUCUCCGCCGCAUCCCCGCCGUGCGCUCCCCUUGCGCGGCCCUGGCGGCGCACUCGAUCUCCGUCUCUACGACACCGCUCACCGUGGAGGCCCUAUGCUCCUUCACAGCUCACAUCCUCGACCCGCCCUCCCGCGACGUGACCACCACCCCGCGGACGCCGUCCCGACAAACUUCCACCUACGGACUACGGUCCCUCUCGCUUUGUCCUUCACAUCUGUGUCGAACGCGACCCCCUCUCACCCCCCUUUUCUCCCCCGCGAUGCCGCCACUGCUCCGGCCGCCGCUGGCAGCUCCUGGCGCGGUCGUACGCCAGCGCGGCACCGCGCCCGCCUCCUACACCGUAUCCCCACCAGCGCCACGCGGCUCUGCCUCAAGCGCGACGCCGCGGCUAACCCUAGCUUCGCGGCUGGAGUUCGCCGAUGCGUCUCCGGCACCCACCACUCGCCUGCGUCGCCCCGCCACGGACGCCUCCACCGGUUCCACGCCACCGCCCUAGCACCAUGCCUCCUUGGUGCGCCCCGCGGCAACUCUAGCCGCAUAGGCUCGGGCUGUCAGCGCUGCUUCCCGCUCCAACCCCUCCGGCUGCACCCUCGACGCCCCCGAUCUCCUCUCCGUCAGUAUCGCCCUUUGGUGCUCCUACUGCCGUGGCAGGCUGCGGUUGGCCUGACCCCUUCUUCGACUACCUCGCUGUCUCCCUCGACUACAUCCAUGGCUACACCUCCACUUUAGAUAAUGAUGUACUGAGCAAGAUUAUUGUUGGGAAGAUUGGGUAUGUACGAUCAAUACUAGGAUUGGCGCCUUGACACUGAUAACAUGAAUUACGAGGUAGCACUCCCAAGGGAAAUAACCACUGGGAAAUGCUUUCUUCAACAUUACAUAGUCUAUUCUGGCUUUACAAGAGGCCAUCUGCAAACUGGAGGGUACGUAGACUAUGUUACAUGUGCACUGGAUUAGUGACUUGCUAGAAUUUUUAUAAUGAUUUUCAUUGUUGAUUAGUUUUCACGCUGAUACUUUUUGUAUAUUUCCUAUGGAACUUUUCAUUGUUAAUUAGAUGUUAAUACCAAAAAAAAAAUUGUGGCACUGGCACUAUCACAGUUUUUACUCAUUUUGCUAUAGUUGAAAUUUUUCUUGAAACAAACUACCAAUCCGUACAACGAUGAUUGUGGAGGGUUUUCUCUGUUAUGUUCCUGUUGUUUGGUGCGACUGGUCUGAAUGGGCUAACCUGAGCUUGUAGAAGUGGUUUGAAUGGCUGAUAGGAUAGAAUUGUACCUCUCAUUUUCCCAACCUUAUAGAAUUUAGAGAACAGGAACGUUCCUCCAAGGUGACGUCUUAUCCAUGGACAGAUGCUGUAAUUGUACCAUGUUUUAUCCUGGUUUGCUUCAUGUUGAGAAGAUGUAACAGCAUAAUAAUAUCAAUGUGGAUACAACAUAUCAAGGUGUAAUGGGUGGUGCUUGAAUUAGAACAUAUGUCAGCAAAUUCUAUGGCCUGUAGACUUCAUAUAUAUUGGUCAUUUUAAAACCUGUAGAAUUGGUUGUGUCCAAUAAACAUUUCAUAUUAGAGAUGUCUGAAGCUUCAAACGUACAUGUUUUUUUACAUCAAUAUUUCUAUUUGCAAUCCAUAGAAGUAACACUCUUAGUAUACAAUGCCAUUGCAUCCUGGUCUCGCAACCUUCGAUUUGUAGGUACUUGUGUAUAUAUUUAUCUCUUCAGCAGAGGAUGUCCAACAUGCUAUAAGUACUUAACCAUGUCGAGGUGGACAGUGGGUCAAGGGGCGUAACACUUCCAACAAGUGUUUUAAUAUUAAAGGGAAAAAUCGCAGGGGCUCAAGGGUGUAAGAGAUACACACACAAGAUGGUCUCCUUUCCUCAUAUAAUGUAUUUGCAUGCUCCUGCACCACCACCAGCAGCACUUGUGGUCGACGCGCUUGGCCAGCCCCGCCCGCAACAUCUCGCAGCUCGUCAAGACCAUCGCCGCACCUCCCUCGUCGACACCCUCGCCCUCGUGAGGAAGCUGGACGCCCGUCCUCCUAACCCUCACGUCCUCCUCCCGAGCCGCCCCCGCGUGGCGGCCGGGGGGAACUGUAUCCCGCUGUCGCCGCCUCCCCCCCUCUCCCCCUCCCCUCCCUCGCCGCUGCCUGGGGGCGCGGUCUGGCAAAGGCCGGCCGGCGGCGGCGGGGAUUCUUCGUCAUCUCACGCGAGGAGGUCUGGCGUGGGUCAUCUUCCUCGGGCCGGUGCACGGCCCUUUCGUCGGGGACCUCGAUGGCGGCGCCUGGCCUUGGCUCGGUGACGCCAUGACGAACGACGAGGUGGUGGAGUGCCCUGCCGGCGAUGGAGGGAGGAGUGGGGGCGGGCUGCAAGGGGAAACCCUAGGUCCCCUUCGCCUCUCGGCAGCCGGCGGUGGAGGGUUGGCUUUCGGCUGCGGCAGUGCCUAGGUUUGUGUGGUGUCUUUGGACUACGCGAUCUGCUUGGUGUCUCCGGCAGCAACCAUGGCCAUAGGAUGGUCGCCGACGUGGGGGCCCGACUUGAAUAAAGGCGGUAGUUCUAGGGUCUCUCUUGGGCGAAGAUGAAGACCUGCCGGAGGCCUGCCCUUCAUGAUCUGGCCGCAGUGUUGAGUUCCGGAAGGCGCUGCCGGCGAAUGUAACACUGCUUCUAUUGCCUGGAGUUUGCUGGAUCGGUGGUAUUCGGUCGUGCGUGCCCAUGCUUUUAUUCCGACCGUUUGGUUUUGGAGGGUGCUGCGCGAAGCUCUUUUCUGUGUUGACACCAAGUGACACCUGAUCCAUGGUGAAGUUAGAAGAGAAUAUCAUGAAGGCCGGAUUUGGAGGACUAGCUAAUGGAGGUUCAAGUCUUUGCGCUGUUGAGGGGCUUGCUUGGUGUUCCGUACUUCGCAACAGUGGUAUGAAAGUGGGGGGCGGCAACACAUGUAAAGUUUGGAGUCUUACCUUUCAGGGUGAAAACCAGGUCUGGUUGUGCCUAACAAUGUCCUUGUUGAAGGCAUUGUUUUGAGAGCGGAGACUAUCUUCAGGGUGAAAACCUAAGAUCUUUGAUCGGGCGACGACGGCGCUGGUGCACUGUUCCCUGGCGUUGCUUUUGAAGAGUCUGAAUUUUAGGUGUUGUCUUGGUGGUGGAUGUAUUACUGUUGCUAGGGCUGGGAUACUAGGGCUGGGAUAUUGUAGCGGAACUUUUAUUUCUUAGUUUUCUUUUUCUCUUUUUUGGCUGUGUGCAUCCGUAAUGUUAUUAGGACAUUGCGUUGUUGCAGAGGCUGGGUGUAAUUGUUAUCUUCUGAUAUUAAUAUAUUUCCUUCAUCGAAAAAGGUGAGGAAGCUGGAGUCGCUGGGUGUCUUGACCAAGCACGCGGAGGCGAUCACGACAGCCUCGAGAGCAUCUCCGAGUCCUUCGUCCCCAACGCCGAGAUGCAGAAGUGUGGGAUGCUGCAGGAUGCCAACAGCUCCAAGUUCAAGUCGCAAGUGCAGAGCUCACAGAGAGCUGAUUCAGAAACAAGAAAUGUGAAGACAACAACAGGGGAUGGAGGAUUCUCAAAGGACAACCAUCUAAAAGCAUCGGUGAUUAUUGAUGAUUAUGUAAAUAUGAUUCAGUUCAAGUACAAUUGAAUUUGCACAAACCGUGUAAUUGAUUAUUAUGUAAAUAUGAUUCAGUACAACUGAAGAACCCCUAUAUUUGAUUCAUCUUCUGCAAUUA